rnacentral:lncRNA from 1 species
NNGGGGGUCGCUGGGAUGAACUGGGAGGGACUGGGAUGAACUGGGAGAGCACUGGGAUGAACUGGGAUGAACUGGGACGAACUGGGAGGGCUUGGUCCUUACUGGGAGGGACUGGGGUGAACUGGGAGCAGGGAGGUGCCGGGGGGGUGGGGGAUGACACAGAACAUGGGGUCUGUCCACGCACACGCCUCGUACACACGUGUGCACGCCUUGCACACGUCUCACGCCUCGCACACACGUGCACACGCCUCGCACACGCCUCGUGCACGUCUCACACCUCGCACACACGUGUGCACGGCUCGCACGCACCUCACAUGUGCCUUGCACACGCCUCGCACACGCCUCGUGCACGUCUCACACCUCGCACACACGUGUGCACGGCUCGCACGCACCUCACAUGUGCCUUGCACACGCCUCGCACACGCCUCGUGCACGUCUCACACCUCGCACACACGUGUGCACGGCUCGCACGCACCUCACAUGUGCCUUGCACACGCCUCGCACACGCCUCGUGCACGUCUCACACCUCGCACACACGUGUGCACGGCUCGCACGCACCUCACAUGUGCCUUGCACACGCCUCGCACACGCCUCGUGCACGUCUCACACCUCACACACACGUGUACACGGCUCGUACGCACUCCACAUGUGGCUUGCACACGCCUCACACGCACCUCACGCACGCCUUGCACACGCCUCAUGCACAUCUCACACCUCACACACGUGUGCACGGCUCACACACGCCUCACACGUGCCUCACACACACGUCUCACACCUCGCACACACGUGUGCACAGCUCACACACGCCUCCAGCCCCCUACACGCCUCGCGCACGGCUGGCACACACAUGUGCACGGCUGGCACACGCCUGGCACACACGUGUGCAGACGCCUCGCACACGCCUGGAACACGCCAACCUCCUGCUUCUGCCCAGCAGAAGCCCCGCUCACACGCGUGUGCUCUGCGGGGGGGGUUGCGUGUGUGUCCGUGUCCGUGCACACGCGUGUGUGGGGAUGGGGGGGGUGUCUGUGUGUUGCCCCCCCCGAAAA